rnacentral:lncRNA from 10 species
GCUCAGAACUCUGAUGGGCUUCAGAGUGGAAUGAGAUCACUUAUCAAAUUGGCAACAGGUCCUCUCUGGCCAUCUCCGUAUAGUUUGACCCAAUGAGUUUGGUUCUCCCUUCUUUGUCAAUUCCCCUGUCUCCUGAAUGUCUCAUUCUCAAACUAAUUUUGCUUGAAAUUGUGGCUGGAGAUGGUAUGUUUGAAACUUAAUAUGAUGAACAUAGAACAGGAAGAUUUCAACACCUUUUUAGCAAAAGAUGUUCACAUAAACCUGAAAUGAAUAUAGCCAAAGAGGACGUGGUCUUUCAGCACCUCCAGCUAAAAAAUGCUGCAGAGGAACUUCCUGUAUUAAGAUGGGGUUUCACCAUGUUCGCCAGGAUGGUCUCGAUCUCCUGACCUCGUGAUCUGUCCACCUCUGCCUCCCAAAGUGCUGAGAUUACAGGUGUGAGCCACCACUCCCAGCCUUUGUCAUCAUUUCAGAUAGGGUGAAGGAAUGGUUUAAGUCGCCUCCAAGGUAUCUUGUUGGGGGUGAGGGGUACAGAGGGGUCUUACUGAAUGGUGAUGAAAAAGGGGACACAAGCGAAAAAUCAACAUUGGAGAAAAGAUAACUAAACCCUGGGAAGCUUAAGGAACAAAGUGUAACAAAACAACAUGGAUUGUUUUAUAAAAUACUUUGAGAUAUCCAGGAUUAAAAGUAUGAUAA